rnacentral:rRNA from 1 species
AACGAACGCUGGCGGCAGGCUUAACACAUGCAAGUCGAACGGGCGUAGCAAUACGUCAGUGGCAGACGGGUGAGUAACACGUGGGAAUAUCCCUCUCAGUUCGGAAUAACUCAGGGAAACUUGAGCUAAUACCGGAUACGUCCUUCGGGAGAAAGAUUUAUCGCUGAGAGAUUAGCCCGAGUCUGAUUAGCUAGUUGGUGAGGUAAUGGCUCAACAAGGCGACGAUCAGUAGCUGGUCUGAGAGGAUGAUCAGCCACACUGGGACUGAGACACGGCCCAGACUCCUACGGGAGGCAGCAGUGGGGAAUAUUGGACAAUGGGGGCAACCCUGAUCCAGCCAUGCCGCGUGAGUGAUGAAGGCCUUAGGGUUGUAAAGCUCUGUUGCCAGGGAAGAUAAUGACUGUACCUGGAGAAUAAGCCCCGGCUAACUUCGUGCCAGCCGCCGCAGUAA